rfam:Anolis carolinensis linkage group a, whole genome shotgun sequence.
UGCCACAAACCCGUAGAUCCGAACUUGUGCUUCUAUGUUACACAAGCUUGUGUCUAUAGGUAUGUGUCUG